rnacentral:rRNA from 1 species
UCGCCUGUUAACAAAAACAUCGCCUCCUGAUUUCUAUAAGAGGUCUAGCCUGCCCAGUGACAAAGUUAAACGGCCGCGGUACCCUAACCGUGCAAAGGUAGCGCAAUCACUUGUUCUUUAAAUGAGGACUAGUAUGAACGGCAUCACGAGGGUUAUGCUGUCUCCCUACUUUAUUCAGUGAAACUAAUCUCCCCGUGAAGAAGCGGGGAUAAAAAUAUAAGACGAGAAGACCCCAUGGAGCUUUAAACUCAGUAUCAACUGCCAUUAUUAAAACCUUAUACCCAAGCAGUCUAUGACUACUAGUUUUCGGUUGGGGUGACCACGGAGUAAAAUCUAACCUCCAUGAUGAAAGGAACUAAAAACCUAAAUUAAGGACUACAACCCUACAUAUCAUAAAAUUGACUAAUUGAUCCAAUUAAUUGAUCAACGAACCAAGUUACCCUGGGGAUAACAGCGCAAUCCAUUUCAAGAGCUCUUAUCGACAAAUGGGUUUACGACCUCGAUGUUGGAUCAGGGUAUCCCAGUGGCGCAGCCGCUACUAACGGUUCGUUUGUUCAACGAUUAAAACCCUACAUGAUCUGAGUUCAGACCGGA